AUUGAACGCUGGCGGCAGGCCUAACACAUGCAAGUCGAACGGUAACAGGAAGCAGCUUGCUGUUUCGCUGACGAGUGGCGGACGGGUGAGUAAUGUCUGGGAAACUGCCUGAUGGAGGGGGAUAACUACUGGAAACGGUAGCUAAUACCGCAUAACGUCGCAAGACCAAAGAGGGGGACCUUAGGGCCUCUUGCCAUCGGCUGUGCCCAGAUGGGAUUAGCUAGUAGGUGGGGUAACGGCUCACCUAGGCGACGAUCCCUAGCUGGUCUGAGAGGAUGACCAGCCACACUGGAACUGAGACACGGUCCAGACUCCUACGGGAGGCAGCAGUGGGGAAUAUUGCACAAUGGGCGCAAGCCUGAUGCAGCCAUGCCGCGUGUAUGAAGAAGGCCUUCGGGUUGUAAAGUACUUUCAGCGGGGAGGAAGGGAGUAAAGUUAAUACCUUUGCUCAUUGACGUUACCCGCAGAAGAAGCACCGGCUAACUCCGUG
rnacentral:rRNA from 1 species